rnacentral:lncRNA from 1 species
CUGCUUCCUGCCUCCAUGAGGUUUUGAAGCACCUCCAGAUUGUAUGAUUUCCAUGCCUAAGGAAACCCCAGUGCCUUUUAUCACCCGCAGUGACACACAUUCUCUCUCUGAUCUGUAGAACCAGGAUCCAUCCCACAUACUUGCUGGAUUGAUUUCUUAAGUCUCUUGGAAGCAAUUUGUUCCAGGUAUCAUGUUUGGAGUCCCUGACCCGGUGUUUCCCGGAGAUGAUAGCCUGAGGGACAAGAGUGGAGCUCUUUGGCAGUGUACUACCCUGUGCCUGUAACCUGCCUCAAGACAUGAAGUGUGGUCACCGUAUAAUUCAUUAUCCAAACUUAUCCCAAGGGGGCCACUGUGGAGAGAAGAAGAGCUUUUACAAGCAGCCAGACAACAGACAGCACCAUCAAAGGCACCAUACUCCCCAGGAUACUGUGUUCCCAAGGAGGUCAAGGCUGCCCUGAGAGCCCAGCUGUCAGCAGGAUGUCCAGGGCUGGCUGAGUAAUGCCUGGGGCAUGGAGCAAAACAAGUAGAGUUUCAGGAGGCUCCUACCCUUCAUCUUUCUUUGUUUUUUGAGCAGUCUUCUUAUGCGUGCC